GCUUACCUUCCGAAGCCUAAAAUUGUUUAUGCUAUUGGUUUGUUCUACUGCUGAGUUCCCUUGCUAUGAAUCUCAUGUGCAACUUUCAUUUGUGACAUAUUCUACAGCUCACAGUGUUCAUGUUUAAGCGAUGUUUUUAAAGUUUGCCAACAAAUCAAGCAAAUAACCUAUUUUCAUAAAGGUUAUCAUUAACUGACUAUGCAGUAUCAGGUUUUCUCUUUCUUUCAGCAUCACAUAAACUGUAACAGGACUCUCCCUGUAUUGUUUAAACAAUUUGUAAAUCAGAAGGGAGAAAAUAUCGUAAGGUAAACCAAAAGGAACCCAUUUCAUUAAAAACAUCAAAACAUAUGGCUUCCUUUGAUGAUUGUACAAAAAUUGACAAUCACACAACACCAGAGCCGAUUUUGGACAGAGAGGCUCACCACCCAUGCCUCAGGCCCAACAAUUAAAGGACCUCAAUAUUUUAUUUUUAUUUUUUUGAUACAUCGUUCCUAUUCAUCUAACAGUCUUCCUCUGUGCCGGUGCAUGCGAGAGGUAAAGAGCCAAGAAGGCAAAAGUCUAGUUCUCUCUCGACAGUCUAUCACCAUCCAUGCCACUGCCUGCAUGCCUACCGAUGAAGUGGUGAUCUGAUCCGCAUAAGGCAGUUUCGGGAUAGAGUUUUCAGAAAUUUCGCAAGUUUCCUAUUUUGAUUAGAAGUCUAAUCUUUUCCAUAUUUAAGUAAUUUUGGACGUUCUUUCCCAAUUUUAAUUAGAUUCUAGGGUUUUAGUAUAAAUAGGGAUUACAUUUGUCAUUGUAUUCAUAACUUUUGACAUGAUGAAUUAAAAUAGAGAAUUUUCUCUCGGGACGCUUGCUUCAA